AGUUGAAACAAAGCUGUGAUUGAAGAAAGAAAACGAUUAAUCAACUGAUGGGGAUUUCGCCAGCAUCCAACGUUAACUUUCACCAUCGUAAUGGCGACUCUCCUUCAACCCGGCGUGCUCGCGGCUUCACCUUUCGCAGAGAGACAGACGAAUGCCAGUUGCAGCUUGGUGUCGUCCGCUUCGCCCGAAAAAACUGAACCAACAGAGGGCGAGUGCCAUGAAAAUCAACGGAAGUCGAUGUUCGA